rnacentral:lncRNA from 1 species
AUGCGUCCCAGAUGUAACCGAGCCAGUGGAGGCGAGGGGGCGGACUGCAGGCUUCUCGGAGGCGGGCGCUCGCGGGCUGCGGCGGUGAAGGUGCAGUGCGGGGCGCCGAGCAUGGGGCGGAGCGGGGAUCACGGCAGGAGGCGGACCGGAGGCUCCGCCACAGGGAGGCCUAUGGCCACCCGGCCGGGGAGCCCCGCCGCUGGCGUUGGGGGACCCGAACACCCCCACUCCCAGGGUGGCAUCUGGAGCGCGGAGUCUCUCUCCCCGAGGCUGUCACCUGCCUCAAGGCCGUCUCGCCCGCUGCCGCCUGGCAGGGAAGGAGGAUCGACGCCGCUGGCGCGUGCCCGAGUGAGUGUACACAGACAAAAGGAUUUGUCCCAAACACCCAUGGACAAGCCAGGACGGAGCCCUUUCCCGCCAAACCACUAAGGCCGGGAAAUAAACGGCGCCUGCCCAGGCUCUGGGCGCGAGAGCCCUCAAGAACACUUCAAUGGUAAGAGCAUUUAGGGGAUUGGAAGAAGGGAAGGAGAAAGAAAGGGAGGAGAAAGAUGGGGAAAACAAGAGGAGAAAGGGGGGAGGGGGCCUACUGCGGCAGAGUUGAAAGUGGGGUUCGAUUACGAUCGCCCCUUCAGCGCCCAGGGUCUUUCCGCGGGCUGCCUCUCCCCCCAUUUCAGAGCCGAGGGAAGACUGGGGGAGGGGAGAUAAGACAAAGGGAAUUCUCCUGUAGGAAGUGUGAAGUGCGUCUGUCCUCUCCUUGCAGGCUCUGGAAAAAACUGGCAGGAAUUUCCUUGUCGUGAGAAGACGGACGAGUGUCUGCAGCACAGGAGACAACUACAAACAGACUUUGGGGCGGGAAAGAGGGCGGGAGGAGGGAGCUGGCAGGGGCCAGCUUUGAUCGCCUCGGCUCUGUUGUAUAUUUGCCUUCUCCAGUUUAGAUUAGCUGAAACAGUCAGCUCUAGCGAGGAGUUCUGUUCCAAGGAGCUCCCCCUCCCUCGUCAGCGCCCCCUCCCCAAUGUCUUCUGCACGCGGGGAGCUGGGUCGCGGCUCUUCCCGAAGUCGCGCCUGAAACUUCAAGGGCUAAUGGUUCUGUGUUCUGCCGUAAUUAGGAGGCCACACAGCUCUCCAACACAC